rnacentral:rRNA from 1 species
GACGAACGCUGGCGGCGUGCUUAACACAUGCAAGUCGAACGGAAAGGCCUCUUUCGGGGGGUACUCGAGUGGCGAACGGGUGAGUAACACGUGAGUAACCUGCCCUUGACUUUGGGAUAACUUCGGGAAACUGGGGCUAAUACCGGAUAGGAGCUCCUGCUGCAUGGUGGGGGUUGGAAAGUUUCGGCGGUUGGGGAUGGACUCGCGGCUUAUCAGCUUGUUGGUGGGGUAGUGGCUUACCAAGGCUUUGACGGGUAGCCGGCCUGAGAGGGAGACCGGCCACAUUGGGACUGAGAUACGGCCCAGACUCCUACGGGAGGCAGCAGUGGGGAAUAUUGCACAAUGGGUGGAAGCCUGAUGCAGCAACGCCGUGUGCGGGAUGACGGCCUUCGGGUUGGAAACCGCUUUCGCUCAUGACGAAGCUUUGUGUGACGGUAGUGGGUAAAGAAGCACCGGCUAACUACGUG